GCCUCGUUAGCGCAGUAGGCAGCGCGUCCGUCUCAUAAUCGAAUGUAGAAAUCUGAAGGUCGUGAGAUUCGAUCCUCACACGGGGCA
rfam:Nematostella vectensis strain CH2 x CH6 NEMVEscaffold_477_Cont28279, whole genome shotgun sequence.